rnacentral:tRNA from 1 species
CAAGAAUUAGUUUAAAAAAUAUUAAUUUUGGAGAUUAAAGUUAAAGAAGUUUCUUUAUUCUUGA